rnacentral:lncRNA from 1 species
GGGAAGAGAGAGAAUUUGGACCAAAAAAGUAGAAGACCAAAGUCAGUCCCCAACAUUCACUGAAAACCGAGGACCCAGAAUCUAAAGCAGAGCAACGAAGAACUGACAUAAUUGCCAGGAUGAAGCUUGGACUGUGGGAUUAUCUUUCUGGUAUUCAAAGAAGCUGAUAAAUUUCCACCCUCCCCUUCCCUCCACAAGGAUUAUUACAAGAGCCGUUGGAGAAGCACACAGAGGAAAGCUUUUUUGCCAAGUCAGGAUGCACAGCCCUGGAGGAGGUUCCAUGAAGUCGCUGGUAAGUCCUGAGAGCCCUGGUCUGGGAGCUCUGGGUGGAAUCCCCCAGUCCCAGAAGGAUAGACAGCAUGUCUCUCUCCCACCGGAGCCCUCCCAGUCAUAAGCUGGAGCGGACGUCUUCUGACCCAGAAUCAGCAGGGUGAGAGCAGAAUUUACCAACAACCUCAGGACGGGGCAUGGAGAAGGAAGAUCUCAGACUGAAGAAUUAAUUUUCUCUCCUUCCUGAGCAGAGCAGCUCUCUGCCUAAAGCCGAGAAUCUUUCCAGAAUGCAAGUCCUGAAUGGAGACAGUCCUGUAAGCGCCGCGUGACCCUAAUCACUCUGACCACGUUCUGCCACAGUUUGCAGUGGCCUACAUCUAACGCAGGGUCCACGUGACGCGCUCCUCCGGAGAACAAGGCUGAAGCUCAGCCAGUGGGCCUGCGUUCCCGGGGACCAGGGAGCACUCUCUUCUAGGAACUAAUCACAACUGGAGGGCUCUGGGGACUGAAACCUGUGUACUGGGUUUCAGCGCUUUAGGUGAUAUGAUAACUAGGAACAUACCCCCGAGAAACGGAAGAUCUGGCUGAGACAGGACCCUUGCUUACUAAAACGUGAUCUGCACAAUUAGAACUUCGUAAAGAUUUCAAACUGGAAAUCCAGCAACAUAAGAAAUUUCUCAUGAGCUUUUAUGUUUCCUAGUAAAUAUCCCUCUUGCUCAGUCGCAGUUAGAAAAUGAUAAGCAUCAGCCCAUGAUCCCAGAGGAAUGUUUUUAAAGUAGCAGAUUUUAAGAGAAAGCCCUGUAAUUCUAAUAACAAUAAGAAACCUUCCUUUUCAAACACCUUUUGAUUUUAUGAGAAGAGUUUGUUUUUGUAAUAUUUGUAUCAGACCAGUUUGCUUUUUUCCAAUAUAGAAUCAAUACUGUAUUUGCCUACAACUCUCAAGUCCUACUUUUUUUUAACUGCCAAUGGUUAAAACAAAGCAUGUGUAUAGAAGCUAAGGAAAGGUAAUAUCUACAAAAUAUUAGUGAAUUUAGGUCUAAACAAAGAUAUUGGUAAGACUAGCACAAACAUUGAACAAAGAUUCAAGAUGAAUUAGACUCAAGAUAUUUUUUUAAAAAAUCACU